GGGCUCAUAGCGCAGUUGGUUAGCGCGCCACUUUGACAUAGUGGAGGUCAGAGGUUCGACUCCUCUUGGGCCCACUA
rnacentral:tRNA from 1 species